UACGAAGGGUGCAAGCGUUACUCGGAAUUACUGGGCGUAAAGCGUGCGUAGGUGGUUUGUUAAGUCUGUUGUGAAAGCCCCGGGCUCAACCUGGGAAUGGCAAUGGAUACUGGCAAGCUAGAGUGCGGUAGAGGAUAGUGGAAUUCCCGGUGUAGCGGUGAAAUGCGUAGAGAUGUGGAGGAACACCGAUGGCGAAGGCAGCCCCCUGGGUCAAGAUUGACGCUCAUGCACGAAAGCGUGGGGAGCAAACAGG
rnacentral:rRNA from 1 species